UUGUUUAUAUGCACAAUAACCAGGUUGACAGAUAUCAAGUGGUGCCAAAUCUACAUAUUUUACAAACGGAUAAAUACGGCAACAAUUAUAUUCCUACAAGACGAAGCUAACUCAUACACCACUACACAUGCAAAAAAAAGGAAGGUGACGGUGGAAUUGGUGGAGGUUUUUGGAUUUAGCACUGGUGCAAUAUAGACAACGCAGAAACAAUUGAAAAUAACAUGAUAUUGAAGAUACAAAGGCGUUAGGCGUCAAUUGGUAAUAUCAAGUGAAGACAGGUCCUUCUCCACCUGGUCCUUCCAUCGGAGUGGAGGUCUCCCUCUCCCUCGGCUUCCACCGGCGGGUACAGCAUCGAAAACUUUCAGAGCUGAGGCACUUUCGUCCAUUCGAACAACAUAACCAAGCCCGCGUAGCCGCUGUCUUUUUAUUCGCUGGACUAUGCCUAUGUCGUCAAACAACACAUACAGCUCAUCAUUUCAUCUUAUGCGGUAUUCGCCGUUGCCAAUGUUUAAGGGACCAUAAAUCCGCAAAACCUUUCUCUCGAAAACUCCUAGUGCCGUCUCAUCGGAUGUUGACACCGUCCACGCUUCUGUACCAUAAAGUAGGACGGGAAUGAUGAGGGACUUGUAGAGUUUAGUUUUUGCUCAUCGAGAGAGGACUUUACUUUUCAAUUGCCUACUCAGAAAAUAAACACAAAUACUUUGUACAAAUGGAGGAUUACAAUAGCUACAACUUUUCUUAGGCAUGAUAAACAAGACAACAACAAAUCCCAUCGGACAUUUAGAUUAGCAGUUGCACAACCUCUUUCCGACGAGCUGAACCUUUUUAUGAUGUACAUAUGGGAUAGGAGUGUGUAGAAUUGACAUCAAACAUAUUGGUUCAUUAGUUUGGUUGGAUCCUUACAGGAUAGUUAUAAGGAAAUCGUUCGCGUUUAGUAUUAAUUUAUUCAUUUGCUAAUUCAUAAUUUAUAUGUAAAAUAUUAUUAAAUUAUACAAAUGAAUGUUAGAAUACUAAUAACAUUCGUAAUAGUAAUGGGAUUUUAUUUGAAUUGUAUAACAACAACUACAAAAAAUAAAAA